rnacentral:rRNA from 1 species
UACGUAGGGUGCAAGCGUUUAAUCGGAAUUACUGGGCGUAAAGCGUGCGCAGGCGGUUUUGUAAGUUUGUCGUGAAAGCCCCGGGCUCAACCUGGGAAUUGCGAUGAAGACUGCAAGGCUUGAAUCUGGCAGAGGGGGGUAGAAUUCCACGUGUAGCAGUGAAAUGCGUAGAGAUGUGGAGGAACACCGAUGGCGAAGGCAGCCCCCUGGGUCAAGAUUGACGCUCAUGCACGAAAGCGUGGGGGAGCAAACAGG